UUCCUUCCAACUUGUUUUAUCCCUCUUCCAUCUCUCUCUCUCUCUCUUUAUUUAUUUCUCGCUUAAGAAUGGAAGGGUUAGUAGACAUUCAUUCAUCUCUUUAUUAAAUAUCAACCCACACAAUUUUAUGGUUAUUUCUUUGCGGUUUAUAAUGCUUUUUCACAAAGGGGCCAGUCCAAGAUCUACUGUGCCUCUUCAAAGACAAUUGAUGCUCUCAAUGGAAAGGCACCACUCUCUUUCUCUGUUAUUCCGGCUUAUUUAUGAUUUUGUCUUGCGAAGAAUAGCCAGUCCCCCUCCCCCACAAAAAAAAAAAAGAAAAACUCCGGCCAUCUCGGCAAAUGGAGAAGAAUUUGAAAAUGAAUGUGUUUGUUUGGCUAAAAAGGAACCUUUGUAGUCUCAGCUCCCAUUGGGCCAACCUUUGUAGUCUCAGCCCCCAUUGGGCCCAUCCACAACAUAGCACAUCGAUCUAUGCUGGUCUUUGACUGCUAUAAGGAACUUCUUUACAUCCUCCUGGACACCCAUACCUUGGGACACUUUUCUAGGCAUUCAGUUUAAUUCUCAAAUUCCCUUAUUCUAUUUAGCGGCGAGGAAUUUUUUUAAUUAAACAGGUCUAUAAAUUACCACAUUAUGUAUUAGGGUCUCAAAAACCCUAGAUUGUCAUGUGACUUAUCUCUAAAUCUGUGUCUUAUGUCUCCAUCCACAUGUUUUUCUAGUGAUCCUCAUUUCAGUAUGUGUAAUAUAUGUUUUAAAAUUUGUGGAUUUUCAGAA
rnacentral:lncRNA from 1 species